CCAGCCCGCUCAGAAAUUAAUGAAUUGACGGGGCCCGCACAAGCGGUGGAGCAUGUGGUUUAAUCGAUGAUACGCGAGGAACCUUACCUGGGCUCAAAUGUAUGUUGACGUAUUCUGAAAGGGAUACUUCUUCGGACAAUAUACAAGGUGCUGCAUGGUUGUCGUCAGCUCGUGCCGUGAGGUGUCGGGUUAAGUCCCAUAACGAGCGCAACCCCUAUCAUUAGUUGCCAUCAGGUCAAGCUGGGGACUCUAAUGAAACUGCCUACGCAAGUAGUGAGGAAGGUGGGGAUGACGUCAAAUCAGCACGGCCCUUACGUCCAGGGCUACACACGUGCUACAAUGGCCGGUACAAAGGGCAGCUACCUGGUGACAGGAUGCUAAUCUCAAAAGCCGGUCUCAGUUCGGAUCGGAGUCUGCAACCCGACUCCGUGAAGCUGGAAUCGCUAGUAAUCGCGCAUCAGCCAUAGCGCGGUGAAUACGUUCCCGGGCCUU
rnacentral:rRNA from 1 species